rnacentral:rRNA from 1 species
AUUGAACGCUGGCGGCAGGCCUAACACAUGCAAGUCGAGCGAGCGGCGGACGGGUGAGUAAUGUAUGGGAAUCUGCCUGAUGGCGGGGGAUAACUACUGGAAACGGUAGCUAAUACCGCAUACCAUCAGAUGAACCCAUAUGGGAUUAGCUAGUUGGUGUGGUAACGGCUUACCUAGGCGACGAUCCCUAGCUGGUCUGAGAGGAUGACCGUCCACACUGGGACUGAGACACGGCCCAGACUCCUACGGGAGGCAGCAGUGGGGAAUAUUGCACAAUGGGCGCAAGCCUGAUACAGCCAUGCCGCGUGUAUGAAGAAGGCCUUAGGGUUGUAAAGGACUUUCAGCGGGGAGGCGUUACCCGCAGAAGAAGCACCGGCUAACUCCGUGCCAGCAGCCGCGGUAAUAC